rnacentral:rRNA from 1 species
GACAGAGGGUGCAAACGUUUGUUCGGAAUUACUGGGCGUAAAGCGAGUGUAGGCGGUUCGAUAAGUCGGAUGUGAAAGCCCCGGGCUCAACCCGGGAAGUGCACUCGAUACUGUCGAGCUAGAGUAUCGGAGAGGUUGGUGGAAUUCUCGGUGUAGAGGUGAAAUUCGUAGAUAUCGAGAGGAACACCGGUGGCGAAGGCGGCCAACUGGACGAAUACUGACGCUGAGACUCGAAAGCGUGGGGGAGCAAACAGG